rnacentral:rRNA from 1 species
GAUGAACGCUGGCGGCGUGCCUAAUACAUGCAAGUCGAGCGAACAGACGAGGAGCUUGCUCCUCUGACGUUAGCGGCGGACGGGUGAGUAACACGUGGCUAACCUACCUAUAAGACUGGGAUAACUUCGGGAAACCGGAGCUAAUACCGGAUAAUAUAUUGAACCGCAUGGUUCAAUAGUGAAAGACGGUUUUGCUGUCACUUAUAGAUGGUUCCGCGCCGCAUUAGCUAGUUGGUAAGGUAACGGCUUACCAAGGCAACGAUGCGUAGCCGACCUGAGAGGGUGAUCGGCCACACUGGAACUGAGACACGGUCCAGACUCCUACGGGAGGCAGCAGUAGGGAAUCUUCCGCAAUGGGCGAAAGCCUGACGGAGCAACGCCGCGUGAGUGAUGAAGGUCUUCGGAUCGUAAAACUCUGUUAUUAGGGAAGAACAAAUGUGUAAGUAACUAUGCACGUCUUGACGGUACCUAAUCAGAAAGCCACGGCUAACUACGUG